rnacentral:lncRNA from 1 species
CUUCUUGUAUUUGCCUUAGGCGAUGAGUGAAAAAGCCCCAGAACCUGCACCUUGCGCCUCAGCGUUCCUGAGGCGCGCUUCUUAGAACCUAGAAAAUGACCAAAAUUGGUUAUAUUCUUUAGUCUUGCCUUGCUAUAAUCACGAACUCUAAUGUGACCAUAUGAUUAUUUAAUCUUAGUUAAACUGCAGUCAUUGGUUCAAGCUAAACAAUCUAUAGAAUGAGCUACAUGUGUAGAAUAUAUAUUUGUCUAUUUAAUUAAAAAAAUAUAUUAAAUCGGUUGUCAAGCUAAAUGCACUUGUGCAACUGACUUAAUUUAUUCAUGUAUUAAAUAGGAUGGAUGUGGUUUACAUUCAACCCUUGUUUGGGAGAAGAAGGGAGAGCUGGCUUGUCGGGUAGGAGUUGGAAGAACCCAAGAGACCUCUUAGACCAACAACUUUCGAGGAACCACACCUGUUAAGUUCGAGAAGCCGUGCAAUCAGACCGCCAUCUCCGCGAGAGGAUUAUAUCUUC